GACGAACGCUGGCGGCGUGCCUAAUGCAUGCAAGUCGAGCGCAGGAAAUCGACGGAACCCUUCGGGGGGAAGUCGACGGAAUGAGCGGCGGACGGGUGAGUAACACGUAAAGAACCUGCCCUCAGGUCUGGGAUAACCACGAGGAAUCGGGGCUAAUACCGGAUGGGUCAUCGGACCGCAUGGUCCGAGGAUGAAAGGCGCUCCGGCGUCGCCUGGGGAUGGCUUUGCGGUGCAUUAGCUAGUUGGUGGGGUAAUGGCCCACCAAGGCGACGAUGCAUAGCCGACCUGAGAGGGUGAUCGGCCACACUGGGACUGAGACACGGCCCAGACUCCUACGGGAGGCAGCAGUAGGGAAUCUUCCACAACGGACGAAAGUCUGAUGGAGCAACGCCGCGUGAACGAUGAAGGCCUUCGGGUCGUAAAGUUCUGUUGUAAGGGAAGAACAAGUGCCGCAGGCAAUGGCGGCACCUUGACGGUACCUUGCGAGAAAGCCACGGCUAACUACGUGCCAGCCGCCGCGGUAAGAC
rnacentral:rRNA from 1 species